UGGGCUACUAUACAAAGAGCAGAAGGUC
rnacentral:piRNA from 1 species